rnacentral:lncRNA from 1 species
AUCCCUGGCUUCCUAGGACGCCAAUAAAAACUCUCGACACCUAAGCAAUAAUUCCCAACAGUCUUUUCUUUUUGGCCGAAGAGCGCGGGGAAUAAGACCAGAUGCAAAGGCCUCCUGUCUAGGUGACCGUGUUUGCACGAGGGCUGCUAAGGAUACAGAGCGCGUCAUCCCUGAUGCACUGCACAGCACGUGUUGCUUGGCAAUAGGUGACUCCGCUGGCAUGGCUUCCUCAUGGACACGAGGUUGAACUUUGAAAACUCCAAGCAAAACAUAAAUGACAGCUUUUAAAAAGUAUAAUUGAUAGUAAAAGCUAUAUGACUUCAUAAACUUGGACAUAUAAACGAACAUCUGUGUUAAAUCAUACAAAUCAAGGUAAGAGACACACCUAUCACCUGCAAAAAAUUUUCUCAUAUUCCUAGUUCUCCUUUUUUCUUAUAGUGAUGCCACAGCCUGUAGCAACACUGGAUCCUUGACCCGCUGAGCCAGGCCCACGAUCAAACCCACAUCCUUCUGGACACUAUGUUGGGUUUUCAACCUGCUGGGCCACAAUGGCAACUCCCUUUUAAUUAGAUUUUCUUAUUUGACAAAUUUCAACACUGAGUUAAAAUUACUUUUUAUGUGGC